GCCGUGGUGUAGUGGUAGUAGCACGCGGCCCCGGUAUGGAUGAAACGCGGGUUCGAUUCCCGUCUGAGGCC